AAAUACUGUCACAGGCAUAAAGAUGGGUAAACACAUAAAUACCGUCACUGACACAGAUAUGUGUAAACACACAAAUACUGUCACAGGCAUACAGAUGAGUAAACAGAUAAAUACUUUCACUGACACAGAUGUGUAAACAGAUAAAUACUUUCACUGACACAGAUGUGUAAACAGAUAAAUACUGUCACAGGCAUACAGAUGUGUAAACACAUAAAUACUGUCACUGACACAGAUGUGUAAACACAUAAAUACUGUCAAAGGCAUACAGAUGUGUAAACACAUAAAUACUAUCUCUCAUACCCAUAUAUUUGCACACAUAGAUAAUGUCAGUGAUGCAACAAUGUAUACACAAAUCCAUACUGUCACUGAUACCUAGUAUAUAUUUACACACAAAGAUGUACUCUCACUGAUACCUAGUAUAUAUUUACACACAA